rnacentral:tRNA from 1 species
GGCCCAUUAGUCUAGGGGUGAGGACGUUGGAUUUUGAUUACGUAAUCAAAAUAGCUUCCAAAGACGCCAGUUCGAAUCUGGCAUGGGCCU